rnacentral:rRNA from 1 species
UCAUUCAGUUGGGCACUCUAGCGAGACUGCCGGUAAUAAACCGGAGGAAGGUGGGGAUGACGUCAAAUCAUCAUGCCCUUAUGACCUGGGCUACACACGUGCUACAAUGGUUGGUACGACGAGUUGCGAGUCGGUGACGGCGAGCUAAUCUCUUAAAGCCAAUCUCAGUUCGGAUUGUAGGCUGCAACUCGCCUACAUGAAGUCGGAAUCGCUAGUAAUCGCGGAUCAGCACGCCGCGGUGAAUACGUUCCCGGGCCUU